ensembl:lncRNA
ACAUUGUGUUGGUACUGAAGGCAGGCUGAGUAGAGGCAGUGAGGCAGAGGCAACAUUGUGUUGGUACUGAAGGCAGGCUGAGUGGAGGCAGUGAGGCAGAGGCAACAUUGUGUUGGUACUGAAGACAGGCUGAGUGGAAGCAGUGAGGCAGAGGCAAUCUUGCGUGAGCUGUCUCAUCAAGGCUGCAGGGACCCUGGACAUACAGGCAUAUACACCAAUGUAUGAACACAUACACACACACACACACACACACACACACACACACACACACACACACACACACACACACACACACACACACACACACACACACACACACACACACACACACACACACACACACACACACACACACACACACACACACACACACACACACACACACACACACACUCACACACACACACACACACACAUACACACACACACACACACACACACACACACACACACACACACACACACACA